CCAGCAGCUGCGGUAAUUCCAGCUCCAAUAGCGUAUAUUAAAGUUGUUGCAGUUAAAAAGCUCGUAGUUGAACUUUAGGCAAGGCCGGUGGGUCAGUCGCAAGACUGUACUUGCCUUGGCUGCGCCUCACCUUCAGGGAGCCCUCACGCAAGUGUGGGUGAACUGAGCUUUACUUUGAAGAAAUUAGGGUGUUCAAAGCAGGCAGUUGCUUGAAUACAUUAGCAUGGAAUAAUAAAAUAGGACUCUAGUUCUAUUUUGUUGGUUUGAGGACGGGAGUAAUGAUUAAUAGGGAUAGUUGGGGGCAUUAGUAUUCAGUAGUCAGAGGUGAAAUUCUUGGAUUUACUGAAGAC
rnacentral:rRNA from 1 species